UGGGGAAUAUUGCACAAUGGGCGCAAGCCUGAUGCAGCCAUGCCGCGUGUAUGAAGAAGGCCUUCGGGUUGUAAAGUACUUUCAGAGGGGAGGAAGGCGAUGUGGUUAAUAACCGCGUCGAUUGACGUUACCCGCAGAAGAAGCACCGGCUAACUCCGUGCCAGCAGCCGCGGUAAUACGGAGGGUGCAAGCGUUAAUCGGCAUUACUGGGCGUAAAGCGCACGCAGGCGGUCUGUCAAGUCGGAUGUGAAAUCCCCGGGCUCAACCUGGGAACUGCAUCCGAAACUGGCAGGCUUGAGUCUCGUAGAGGGGGGUAGAAUUCCAGGUGUAGCGGUGAAAUGCGUAGAGAUCUGGAGGAAUACCGGUGGCGAAGGCGGCCCCCUGGACGAAGACUGACGCUCAGGUGCGAAAGCGUGGGGAGCAAACA
rnacentral:rRNA from 1 species